GACGAACGCUGGCGGCGUGCUUAACACAUGCAAGUCGAACGGAAAGGCCCUGCUUUUGUGGGGUGCUCGUGUGGCGAAGGGGUGAGUAACACGUGUGUAACCUGCCCUUGACUUUGGGAUAUAUUCAGGAAACUGGGGCUAAUAUCGGAUAUGAGCUCCUGAUGCAUGGUGUGGGUUGGAAAGUUUCGGCGUUUGGGGAUGGGUUCGCGGGUUAUCCGCUUGUUGGUGGGGUAGUGGCUUCACAAGGUUGCGACGGGUAGGCGGCCUGAGAGGGUGACCAGCCACAAUGGGACUAAGGUACGGCCCAGACUCCAACGGGAGGCAACGGUGGGGAGUAUUGCACAGUGGGCGGAAGCCAGAGGCAGCAACGCCGCGUUCGGAAUGACGGCCUUCGGGGGAAAAACCACUGUCGCCGGUAACGAAGCGUGAGUGACGGUAAUGAAUAAGGAAGCACCGGCUAACUACGUG
rnacentral:rRNA from 1 species